rnacentral:rRNA from 1 species
AUUGAACGCUGGCGGCACGCCUAACAUAUGCAAGUCGAACGGCAGCACGGAGAGUAGCAAUACUUUUGGGUGGCGAGUGGCGGACGGGUGAGUAACGCGUAGGAAUCUACCCUAGAGAUGAGGAUAACUUGGGGAAACUCAAGCUAAUACUGAAUACGCCCUUAGGGGUAAAGGUUGCGCAAGCAGCCGCUUUAGGAUGAGCCUGCGUUAGAUUAGCUAGUUGGUGGGGUAAAGGCCUACCAAGGCGACGAUCUAUAGCUGUUCUGAGAGGAAGAUCAGCCACACUGGGACUGAGACACGGCCCAGACUCCUACGGGAGGCAGCAGUGGGGAAUCUUAGACAAUGGGCGCAAGCCUGAUCUAGCCAUGCCGCGUGAGCGAUGAAGGCCUUAGGGUUGUAAAGCUCUUUCAGUGGGGAAGAUAAUGACUGUACCCACAGAAGAAGCCCCGGCUAACUCCGUGCCAGCAGCCGCGGUAAAGUCUAG